UCACUUAUGUCAUCUCAUGUGUUAGUUUUUGGAGGGAAAAACGUUGGAUUACCUUCACUUAGUAGAGGUCGGAAUCCGUAAAUGACAUUGUAUACUAUCUGUACAAGUACUUGGAGCUGUUGAUCUGUCAUGCUUUGUACUAAUGCGAGUUGUUGUUUUCUUGUUGUGUUUCUGAAGAGCUAACACUUCAGGACAGAUGUUAAGGGAAUCCACUAUCUCGUUUCAGGAUAGGAGGAUAUCAUCUUCGUUAACAGUGGUCAACAAAUGACCAAAAUACAUGUCAAUAUGUUUCUGGUCAUCGUUCAUCAUGCAGGAGUGUUGAACUUGUGAAGGGUGGUCAACCUCACACCCAUUGCAUUGUUGUUUUACAACAUUUUCAAGACAUUCAUAGAGUCCUUUGGCACAAAGAAAGUCAAAGUAUGAAUUCAUAAUCAUCAUGUGGGAUGUGUUCUCAUU